rnacentral:rRNA from 1 species
AAYUUUAUAAUUAUUAUUGARAUUGAAAAUAUUUAUUAAUAAUUUUAAUAAAAAUAAUUUUUAAUUAUUAUGGUUUAAGUAUAUUUUAUAGAAAAAAUUUUUAUAAUGAUAAUAUAUUUGUAUUGAAAAAGAAUUUUGAAAAAAAWUUAAUUUAAAAUUAUGAAUAAGUAAAUUUUAUUUAUUGUACCUUGUGUAUCAGGGUUUAUUUAAAAAARGAUAAUAAUAAUUAUUUUUCUCGAAUUUAAAAGAUCUAUUUUAAAWUAUAUAUAUUAAUAUAUAAUUUUUAUUGUGGAAAAAAUAUUUUUAAUAUUAAAAUAGUAAUGAAAUGUUAUUCGUUUUUAAAGAUAUCUAGUUUUUUAAUAAAUGAAUUUAAUUCAGAUAUUACAUUUUAAAUAUAAAAANNNUUNNUUUUAAUUUURUUGUAAUAUUAAUAUUUUAAGGGAUAAGCUUUAAAAUAAAAUUUUAAAAUAUUGAUUUAAAAAUUAAAGAUAUUUAUAGACUUAGAAAUAGUUUUUAUUAUAAAAAUGUUAUAAUUUUUAUUUUUAAUAAAUAUGAUUUUAYUUUAAAAUUUAAAUUUUUAUUAAAAUAAAUUAAAUAAUAAUAAUUUAAUUAAAAUAAUGAUAAAAUUAGUAAAUAAAAAAAAAUGUUAAAAAUUUAUUUAUUUAAUUAAAGGUUAAAUAAAGGAAUUCGGCAAAAUUUAUAUUCACCUGUUUAACAAAAACAUGUCUUUUUGAAUUUAAUUUAAAGUCUAAUCUGCUCUAUGAAUUUUUAAAUGGCUGCAGUAUCUUGACUGUACAAAGGUAGCAUAAUAAUUAGUCUUUUAAUUAAAGGCUGGAAUGAAUGAUUGUAUGAAAUAUAAACUGUCUCUUUUUAAUUAUUAGUUUAAUUUAAUUUUUAAGUUAAAAAGCUUAAAUUUUAUUAAAGGACGAGAAGACCCUAUAGAGUUUUAUAAUUAAAUAUUAUAUAAAAUUUUAAUUUAUUUUUAUAUAUAAUUUAUUAUUUUAUUGGGGCGAUAGAAAAAUUUAAUAAACUUUUUUAUUAUUUUUACAUUAAUUUAUGAAUUUUUGAUCCUUAUUUUUAGAUUAUUAGAUUAAAUUACCUUAGGGAUAACAGCGUUAUUUUUUUUAGAGUUCUUAUUGAUAAUAAAGAUUGCGACCUCGAUGUUGGAUUAAAAUUUAAUUUAGGUGAAGAAGCUUAAAUUUUAGGUCUGUUCGACCUUUARUAUUUUACAUGAUCUGAGUUCAAACCGGUGUAAGCCAGGUUGGUUUCUAUCCUUAAUUAUUUAAAAUAUUUUAGUACGAAAGGACCAAAUUUUUAAAAUAUUAUUUUAUUAAUUAAUAAUUUUAUUAAUUUAUUUAUUA